rnacentral:rRNA from 1 species
AGACCGAUAGCGAACAAGUACCGUGAGGGAAAGAUGAAAAGCACUUUGGAAAGAGAGUUAAACAGUACGUGAAAUUGUUGAAAGGGAAACGAUUGAAGUCAGUCAUGCUCUUUGGUAUUUAUAUCAUUGAGUGGGGUCAACAUCAGUUUUGAUCGAUGGAUAAAGGCACUAGGAAGGUAGCACUCUCGGGUGAACUUAUAGCCUAGCGUCAUAUACAUUGAUUGGGACUGAGGAACGCAGCAUGCCUUUAUGGCCGGGAUUCGUCCACGUACAUGCUUAGGAUGUUGACAUAAUGGCUUUAAACGACCCGUCUUGAAACACGGACCAAG